rnacentral:rRNA from 1 species
AGAACGAACGCUGGCGGCAGGCCUCAAACAUGCAAGUCUAGGGGGUGUAGCAAUACAUCACCGGCGGACGGGUGCGUAACGCGUGGGAAUAUACCUAUUGGUUCGGAACAACUGAGGGAAACUUCAGCUAAUACCGAAUGUGCCCGUAAGGGGAAAGAUUUAUCGCCAAUAGAUUAGCCCGCGUAGGAUUAGCUAGUUGGUGGGGUAAUGGCCCACCAAGGCUCCGAUCCUUAGCUGUUCUGAGAGGAAGAUCAGCCACACUGGGACUGAGACACGGCCCAGACUCCUACGGGAGGCAGCAGUUGGGAAUCUUGGACAAUGGGGGAAACCCUGAUCCAGCCAUGCCGCGUGAGUGAUGAAGGCCUUCGGGUUGUAAAACUCUUUCGACGGGGACGAUAAUGACGGUACCCGUAGAAGAAGCUCCGGCUAACUUCGUGCCAGCAGCCGC